rnacentral:lncRNA from 1 species
UUCAUAGUUCCAUUUUCCUAUUUUUGGCAGGGGUAUCUAAGAGAGCUGGUCCAGGCUUGAUGGAAAUCGCUUAGUACAUUCAUGGGAUCACAAACUUUUGGCGUUGGUUGAGAUUAGUGACGCAUGACCAUUAAUAACUAGAAGACUGUGACAAUUAACUUACUGUUUCAUGAAUUAGAGAGGCUGGGUUGGACCAACUCCAUGUUACAGGCCCUUUCCUCAUUGCAUUUCUCUUGACAUUAAAUUGAUUAAAUUAUAAUUUCAGUAGGAAAUCUACAACAUACUCAAAUCAUUAUGAUUACUCUUUCCUGUUUUUGUUUCUAUAUCUAAUUGAUAUAUAGAUUUUGCAUCUUGUCCUAUGACAUGUACUUCUGUAGUUGUGUCCAUUGGACUUACUCUUUUCAUUGUGGCAUCAUGAUUCCUCCUUUUCUUGGCUUGCUAUAUAUGUUUGUUUCAUGGUCCAGUUGGUGUUCCAAAAAUAUGCUCAAUUGUUAUAUGUAUCAAAUACAGUCUCUCCCAGUGGUGUACCAUCUGCUUAUUGUUUUACAUACAGUCGCUUGAUUAUUUUUGUUCCUCUAUAGGCCUCUGGUCUUGUCUGCAGUGUACGGCUAGGUUGUUCGUCCGCCUGGGUCGUAGGUUCUUUCCUUCCUGUUGACGGCAGGUACAAGACUCGAGCAAUGGUUAACGGGCAAGCACUAUAUACACCAUUCAUCUAUGCUAAUAUAGCCCGUCUUUUAAAGCCAAUGUAUGCUAUCACCAAUUGAUCGGAAUAUUUUCUUUCAAGCAUAGCUUUCAUGUAAUGGAAUAUAAGUAUCUUUAUAAGUUGAUUCUAAAUCAAUCUCAUACACAUACUUUGAAUGCUUGGCUCGCUCUCGCUUUUUGCGCCAUGGUCAAGGGUGCAACGAUGACUCUGUCUAAUGUUUAUCACUUCAUAGCGCCUAUAUGUGACUAUCUACUUUGUUUGCUAAUAACAUUGUAAAUAAUUAAUCGUAAGCUUCUUAGAACACUAUGUAUCAUUACUAAGUAUCUAUCUACCAGCAAUAAGUACUUAUUUUCAUAUGUUUCAAUAUGUGUCUGAAUAAUAUUAAUGUACACUCUUUCAAUACAUGGCUUACUCUCGGCCUUUGCGCCAUUGACGCAACUGGUCAUCUAGUUGUAUUCAAAGACUAAUCUUCUAUUGUAUUCGAUGAAUCUGUUGUUGAUGUGUGCUGUCUAUAUUUUGUCAAAUUAUACAUUUUGUAACCUGUGCAAAACACAGAAAAUAAAAAAACCUAAUAUUCAUACUAAUGGCGCAUCACAUGACAGUGCGCCAUUAGUAUGACAAAGCAUACUAAUGGCGCAUCACUGGACAGUGCGCCAUUAGUAUGCCACGGUUACUAAUGGCGCAUCCCGUGGUCGUGCGCCAUUAGUAUGCCAAAGCACCUGGGUAUACAUGGCCCCUGGGAGGCAUACUAAUGGUGCACCGUGGCCUAUACUAAUGGCGCACCAGUGGUGCGCCAUUAGUAUACCAGAUACUAAUGGCGCACCACUGAUGCGCCAUUAGUAAAAAUUACUAAUGGCGUGCUAGUAAUGGCGCACCAGUGAUGCGCCAUUAAUGGCCAAAUUAGGUGCGCCAUUAGUAGCGGUUUUUCUAGUAGUGAGGAGAGGAUGAUGCAGUAAAGUAGCGUAAGUAUUUCCCUUAGUUUUUGAGAACCAAGGUAUCAAUUCAGUAGGAGACCACGCACAAGUCCCUCGUAUCUACACAAAAUGAUAGCAACUCGCAACCAACGCUUAGGGGUUCUCAAUCCCUUCACGAUCACUUACGAGAGUGGGAUCUGAUAGAUAAUAUUUUUGGUAUUUUUGAUUGAUAGAUGCAAAGUAAAAAGGUAAAAGGCAAAGUAAAAAACAAAGCAAGUAAAUAAAGUGAUAGAGAUUGAUAUGAUGAGAAUAGACCCGGGGGCCAUAGGUUUUACUAGUGGCUUCUCUCAAGAGCAUAAGUAUUCUACGGUGGGUGAGCAAAUUACUGUUGAGCAAUUGACAGAACUGAGCAUAGUUUUGAACAUAUCUAGGCAAUGAUCAUGUAUAUAGGCAUCACGUCCAAAACAAGUAGAAAACGAUUCUGCAUCUACUACUAUUACUCCACUCAUCGACCGCUAUCCAGCAUGCAUCUAGAGUAUUAAGUAAAAACAGAGUAACACUUUAAGCAAGAUGACAUGAUGUAGAGGGAUAAAUUCAUGCAAUAUGAUAAAAAAAACCAUCUUGUUAUCCUUGAUGGCAACAAUACAAUACGUGCCUUGCAACCCUUUGUGUCACUGGGUAAGGACACUCCAAGAUCGAACCCAAAGCUAAGCACUUCUCCCAUUGCAAGAACUACCAAUCUAGUUGGCCAAACCAAACGGAUAUUUCGAAGAGACUUGCAAAGAUAACUCAAUCAUACAUAAAAGAAUUCAGAGAAGAAUCAAAUAUUUUCCAUAGAUAAUCUGAAUCAUAAACCCACAAUUCAUCGGUCUCAACAAACACACCGCAAAAAGAAGAUUGCAUCGAAUAGUUCUCCACAAGAGAGGGGGAGAACAUUGUAUUGAGAUCCAAAAAGAGAGAAGAAGCCAUCUAGCUACUAUCUAUGGACCCAAAGGUCUGAAGUAAACUACUCACACUUCAUCGGAGGGGCUAUGGUGAUGAUGUAGAAGCCCUCCAUGGUGGAUGCCCCCUACGACGGAGCUCCGGAACAGGCCCCAAGAUGGGAUCUCGUGGAUACAGAAAGUUGCGGCGGUGGAAUUAGGUUUUUGGCUCCUCUUUUCAUCGUUCAGGGAUACAUAGGUAUAUAUAGGAGGAAGGAGUACGUCGGUGGAGCGUCGAGGGGCCCACGAGGUAGGGGAGCGUGCCCAGGGGGGCCCUCCACCCUUAUGACCGCCUGUGGCACUACUUGGAGUAGGGUCCAAGUCUCCUGGAUCACGUUCGGUUGGAAAAUCACGAUCCCGAAGGUUUCAUUCCGUUUGGACUCCGUUUGAUAUUAUGUUUCUUCGAAACACUGAAAAAGGCAAAAAAAACAGCAAUUCUGGGCUGGGCCUCCGGUUAAUAGGUUAGUCCCAAAAGUAAUAUAAAAGUGGAAAAUAAAGCCCAAUAUAGUCCAAAACAGUAGAUAAAGUAGCAUGGAGCAAUCAAAAAUUAUAGAUACGUUGGAGACGUAUCAGGCAUCCCCAAGCUUAAUUCCUGCUCGUCCUCAAGUAGGUAAAUGAUAAAAAAAAAAGAAUUUUUGAUGUGGAGUGAUACUUUGGCAUAAUUUCAAUGUAAAACUUCUUAAUUGUGAUAUGAAUAUUCAGAUCCAAAAGAUUCAAGACACAAGUUCAUAUUGACACAAAAAUAAUAAUACUUCAAGCAUAAUAAUCAAAGCAAUCAUGUCUUCUCAAAAUAACAUGGCAAAAGAAAGUUCAUCCCUACAAAAUCAUAUAGUUAGGCUAUGCUUUAUUUUUGUCACACAAAGAUGUUCCCAACUUCUAUACCCCCGAUGACAAGCCAAGCAAUUGUUUCAUACUUAAAUAAUCUCAAACUUUUUCAACCUUCACGCAAUACAUGAGUGUGAGCCAUGGAUAUAGCACUAUGGGUGGAAUAGAAUAUGAUGAUGGGGAUUGUGUGGAGAAGACAAAAAAGGAGAAAGUCUCACGUUGACGAGGCUAAUCAACGGGCUAUGGAGAUGCCCAUCAAUUGAUGUCAACAUGAGGAAUAGGGAUUGCCAUGCAACGGAUGCACUAGAGCUAUGAAUGCUCAACAAAAGAAAACUAGUGGGUGUGCAUCCAACUUGCUUGCUCAUGAAGACCUAGGGCAUUUGAGGAACCCAUCGUAGGAAUAUACAAGCCAAGUUCUAUAAUGAAAAAUUCCCACUAGUAUAAAAAGACAACUUAUGAGACUCACUACAUGAAGAACAAGGUGCUACUUUGAAGCACAAUAUAUGAGACUUAUUACAUGAAGAACAAGGUGCUACUUUGAAGCACAAGUGUGGAAAAAGAGAUAGUAGCAUUGCCCUUUUCUUUUUAUUUUUUUGGGCCUUUCUUUUUUUUUAUAUUUUGGCCUUUCCCUUUUUUUUAUUUGGGCAAUGCUCUAAUAAUGAUGAUCAUCACACUUCUAUUGAUUACAACAUAAGGAUUAGAACUCGAGACUUAGAACAAGAUAUGACUCUAUAUGAAUGCCUCCGGCGGUGUACCGGGAUGGUGCAAUGAAUCAAGAGUGACAUGUAUGAAAAAUAAUGCAUGGGCUUUGCCACAAAUAUGAUGUCAACUACAUGAUCAUGCAAUGGCAAUAUGACAAAAGUAAUGUAUGUCAUGAUGAUGAUGGUGGAAGUUGCAUGGCAAUAUAUCUCGGAAUGGCUAUGGAAAUGCCAUGAUAGGUAGGUACGGUGGCUGUUUUGAGGAAUAUAUAAGGAGGUUUAUGUGUGAUAGAGCGUAUCGUAUCACGGGGUUUGGAUGCACCGGUGAAGCUUGCACCAACUCUCAAGGUGAGAAAGGGCAAUGCACGGUACCGAAGAGGCUAGCAAAGGCGGAAAGGUAAAAGUGCAUAUAAUCCAUGGACUCAACAUUAGUCAAAAGAACUCAUAUACUUAUUGCAAAAAUUUAGAAGUCAUCAAAAAUCAAGUACUACGCGCAUGCUCCUAGGGGGAUAGAUUGGUAGGAAAAGAGCAUCGCUCGUCCCCGACCGCCACUCAUAAGGAUGCACAAGCCAGGUACACUUCAUAUUUCAAAUUUGUUACAUAACUUUAACCAUACGUGCAUGCUACGGGACUUGCAAACUUCAACACAAGUAUUUCUCAAAUUCAUAAUCAUCCAACUAGAACGACUUUGAUAUUAUCACCUCCAUAUCUCAAACCAAUUAUCAAGCAUCAAACUUAUCUUAGUAUUCAAUUCACUCAAAAGAAAGGUUCACAUAUCUUGAACACCAAGUACAUUAACAUUAAGCAAAUUACCAUGCUAUUAAUGACUCUCAAAAUAAUCUAAGUGAAGCAUGAGAGAUUAAUAGUUUCUUUAAAACAAAUCCACCACCGUGCUCUAAAAGAUAUAAGUGAAGCACUAGAGCAAAAAUUAUCACGCUCAAAAAGAUAUAAGUGAAGUACUACGAGCAAAACUAUCAAGCUCAAAAGAUAUAAGUGAAGCACAUAGAGUAUUCUAACAAAUUCCAAAUCAUGUAUGGCUCUCUCAAAAGGUGUGUACAGCAAGGAUGAUUGGGGUAAACUAACAAGCAAAGACACAAAUAAUACAAGACGCUCCAAGCAAAACACAUAACAUGUGGUGAAUAAAAAUAUAGCUCCAAGUAAAUUACCGAUGGAAGUGGACGAAAGAGGGGAUGCCUUCCAGGGCAUCCCCAAGCUUUGACUUUUUGGUGUCCUUGGAUUAUCUUGGGGGUGCCAUGGGCAUCCCCAAUCUUAGGCUCUUGCCACUCCUUGUUCCAUAAUCCAUCAAAAGAAUUCACCCAAAACUUGAAAACUUCACAACACAAAACUCAACAGAAAUCUCGUGAGCUCCGUUAGAGAAAGAAAACAAAAGACUACUUCAAGGUACUGUAAUGAACUCAUUCUUUAUUUAUAUUGGUGUUAAACCUACUGUAUUCCAACUUCUCUAUGAAUUAUAAACUAUUUUACUAGCCAUAGAUUCAUCAAAAUAAGCAAACAACACAUGUAAAACAGAAUCUGUCAAAAACAGAACAGUCUAUAGCAAUCUGUAACUAACGCAUACUUAUGGAACUCUAAAAUUCUACAAAAAUAGGAAGUCCUGGAAAUUAUGUUUAUUGAACAGCAAAAAAAAGAAUAAAUGCAAAAUCACGUUCCUGUGAUUUAACAAAAUUAUAUUCGUGCGUGCAAGGUUUCUGUUUUUCAGCAGAAUCAAAUCAACUAUCAUCAUAGGUUAUCCUAUAGGUUCUACUUGGCACAAACACUAAUUAAAAGACAAAACCACAUCUAAACAGAGGCUAGAUGGAUUAUUUAUUACUAAGCAGAAACAAAAACAAAAAACAC